GAUGAACGCUGGCGGCGUGCCUAAUACAUGCAAGUCGAACGCACAGCGAAAGGUGCUUGCACCUUUCAAGUGAGUGGCGAACGGGUGAGUAACACGUGGACAACCUGCCUCAAGGCUGGGGAUAACAUUUGGAAACAGAUGCUAAUACCGAAUAAAACUUAGUGUCGCAUGACACAAAGUUAAAAGGCGCUUUGGCGUCACCUAGAGAUGGAUCCGCGGUGCAUUAGUUAGUUGGUGGGGUAAAGGCCUACCAAGACAAUGAUGCAUAGCCGAGUUGAGAGACUGAUCGGCCACAUUGGGACUGAGACACGGCCCAAACUCCUACGGGAGGCUGCAGUAGGGAAUCUUCCACAAUGGGCGAAAGCCUGAUGGAGCAACGCCGCGUGUGUGAUGAAGGCUUUCGGGUCGUAAAGCACUGUUGUAUGGGAAGAACAGCUAGAAUAGGAAAUGAUUUUAGUUUGACGGUACCAUACCAGAAAGGGACGGCUAAAUACGUGCCAGCAGCCGCGGUAAUACGUAUGUCCCGAGCGUUAUCCGGAUUUAUUGGGCGUAAAGCGAGCGCAGGUGGUUUAUUAAGUCUGGUGUAAAAGGCAGUGGCUCAACCAUUGUAUGCAUUGGAAAACUGGUAGACUUGAGUGCAGGAGAGGAGAGUGGAAUUCCAUGU
rnacentral:rRNA from 1 species